rnacentral:rRNA from 1 species
AGACCCGAAACCCGGUGAUCUAGCCAUGGGCAGGUUGAAGGUUGGGUAACACUAACUGGAGGACCGAACCGACUAAUGUUGAAAAAUUAGCGGAUGACUUGUGGCUGGGGGUGAAAGGCCAAUCAAACCGGGAGAUAGCUGGUUCUCCCCGAAAGCUAUUUAGGUAGCGCCUCGUGAAUUCAUCUCCGGGGGUAGAGCACUGUUUCGGCAAGGGGGUCAUCCCGACUUACCAACCCGAUGCAAACUGCGAAUACCGGAGAAUGUUAUCACGGGAGACACACGGCGGGUGCUAACGUCCGUCGUGAAGAGGGAAACAACCCAGACCGCCAGCUAAGGUCCCAAAGUCAUGGUUAAGUGGGAAACGAUGUGGGAAGGCCCAGACAGCCAGGAUGUUGGCUUAGAAGCAGCCAUCAUUUAAAGAAAGCGUAAUAGCUCACUGGUCGAG